rnacentral:rRNA from 1 species
GAUGAACGCUGGCGGCGUGCUUAACACAUGCAAGUCGAACGAAGCGAUUGGAAGGAAGUUUUCGGAUGGAAUUCUGAUUGACUGAGUGGCGGACGGGUGAGUAACGCGUGGGUAACCUGCCUCAUACAGGGGGAUAACAGUUAGAAAUGACUGCUAAUACCGCAUAAGCGCACAGGAUUGCAUGAUCCGGUGUGAAAAACUCCGGUGGUAUGAGAUGGACCCGCGUCUGAUUAGCUGGUUGGUGGGGUAACGGCCCACCAAGGCGACGAUCAGUAGCCGACCUGAGAGGGUGACCGGCCACAUUGGGACUGAGACACGGCCCAAACUCCUACGGGAGGCAGCAGUGGGGAAUAUUGCACAAUGGGGGAAACCCUGAUGCAGCAACGCCGCGUGAGUGAAGAAGUAUUUCGGUAUGUAAAGCUCUAUCAGCAGGGAAGAAAAUGACGGUACCUGAGUAAGAAGCCCCGGCUAACUACGUGCCAGCAGCCGCGGUAAUACGUA